rnacentral:rRNA from 2 species
GAUUAAGUUAUUAAGGGCGCACGGUGGAUGCCUUGGCACUAGAAGCCGAUGAAGGACGUUACUAACGACGAUAUGCUUUGGGGAGCUGUAAGUAAGCUUUGAUCCAGAGAUUUCCGAAUGGGGAAACCCAGCAUGAGUUAUGUCAUGUUAUCGAUAUGUGAAUACAUAGCAUAUCAGAAGGCACACCCGGAGAACUGAAACAUCUUAGUACCCGGAGGAAGAGAAAGAAAAUUCGAUUCCCUUAGUAGCGGCGAGCGAAACGGGAAGAGCCCAAACCAACAAGCUUGCUUGUUGGGGUUGUAGGACACUCUAUACGGAGUUACAAAGGACGACAUUAGACGAAUCAUCUGGAAAGAUGAAUCAAAGAAGGUAAUAAUCCUGUAGUCGAAAAUGUUGUCUCUCUUGAGUGGAUCCUGAGUACGACGGAGCACGUGAAAUUCCGUCGGAAUCUGGGAGGACCAUCUCCUAAGGCUAAAUACUCUCUAGUGACCGAUA